UACGUAGGGGGCUAGCGUUGUCCGGAAUCAUUGGGCGUAAAGAGCGUGUAGGCGGUCCGGUAAGUCCGCUGUGAAAGUCGGGGGCUCAACCCUUGAAUGCCGGUCGAUACUGCCGGACUAGAGUCCGGAAGAGGCAAGUGGAAUUCCCGGUGUAGCGGUGAAAUGCGCAGAUAUCGGGAGGAACACCAAUGGCGAAGGCAGCUUGCUGGGACGGUACUGACGCUGAGACGCGAAAGCGUGGGGAGCAAACAGG
rnacentral:rRNA from 1 species